ensembl:lncRNA
UGUCUGUGUUGGAGGUGUCUGUGUUGGAGGUGUCUGUGUUGGAGGUGUCUGUGUUGGAGGUGUCAGUGUUGGAGGUGUCUGUGUCGUGUAUGUCUGUGUUGGAGGUGUCUGUGUUGGAGGUGUCUGUGUUGGAGGUGUCUGUGUUGGAGGUGUCUGUGUUGGAGGUGUCAGUGUUGGAGGUGUCUGUGUGGUGUAUGUCUGUGUUGGAGGUGUCUGUGUUGGAGGUGUCAGUGUUAGAGGUGUCUGUGUUGGAGGUGUCUGUGUUGGAGGUGUCUGUGUUGGAGGUGUCAGUGUUGGAGGUGUCUGUGUG